rnacentral:rRNA from 1 species
AUUGAACGCUGGCGGCAGGCCUAACACAUGCAAGUCGAGCGGCAGCGGAAAGUAGCUUGCUACUUUGCCGGCGAGCGGCGGACGGGUGAGUAAUGUCUGGNAAACUGCCUGAUGGAGGGGGAUAACUACUGGAAACGGUAGCUAAUACCGCAUAACGUCGCAAGACCAAAGAGGGGGACCUUCGGGCCUCUUGCCAUCANAUGUGCCCAGAUGGGAUUAGCUAGUAGGUGGGGUAACGGCUCACCUAGGCGACGAUCCCUAGCUGGUCUGAGAGGAUGACCAGCCACACUGGAACUGAGACACGGUCCAGACUCCUACGGGAGGCAGCAGUGGGGAAUAUUGCACAAUGGGCGCAAGCCUGAUGCACCCAUGCCGCGUGUAUGAAGAAGGCCUUCGGGUUGUAAAGUACUUUCAGCGGGGAGGAAGGCGCUGAGGCUAAUAACCUCAGCGAUUGACGUUACCCGCAGAAGAAGCACCGGCUAACUCCGUGCCAGCAGCCGCGGUAAUACGGAGGGUGCAAGCGUUAAUCGGAAUUACUGGGCGUAAAGCGCACGCAGGCGGUCUGUCAAGUCAGAUGUGAAAUCCCCGGGCUCACCUGGGAACUGCAUUCAAAACUGGCAGCUAGAGUCUUGUAGA